GCUAAACAGCUAGCUUUUUUAUUUAACCAACAUCCCACAAUUUCUAAGUUUUACUUAACUUAUCUUCUUUUAACCAAAUCAUUUUACCUCCUUAGUAUAGGCGACAGAAAAGGCACUUAAAAGCUAUAGAAUAAGUACCGCAAGGGAAAGCUGAAAAAGAAAUGAAAUAACCCAUUUAAGCCCUAAGAAGCAGAGACAUAACCUCGUACCUUUUGCAUCAUGAUUUAGCUAGAACCACGGAGCAAAGAGAAACUUUAGUUCCAAGCCCCGAAACCAAGUGAGCUACCCCGAGACAGCCUAAUUAGGGCAGACCCGUCUCUGUGGCAAAAGAGUGGGAAGAUCUCCGGGUAGGGGUGACAGACCUAUCGAACUUGGUGAUAGCUGGUUGCCUAAGAAAUGGAUAUAAGUUCAGCCUCGUAUUCCCCUAUACCAUAUGCCAUUACCGCUCCACGGAAAAGAGAAAACUACGAGAGUCAUUCAAAGGGGGUACAGCCCCUUUGAACCAGGAUACCAACCUGCCCCAGGAGGUUAAGACUCAUACUCAACAAGAUUAUCGCUUUAGUGGGCCUAAAACCAGCCAUCUAUUCAGAAAGCGUUAAAGCUCAAGCAACCUAAAAUCUAUUAUUCUGAUAUAAGCCUCAAAACCCCUACUACUACUAGGCCGUUCCAUGCCCCCAUGGAAGUGAUACUGCUAAAAUGAGUAACAAGAAGGUAACCCCUUCUCCAUGCCUAAGUAUAAACUAGACCGGACCCCCCACUACAAUUUAACGAACCCAACCAAAGAGGGAAAAGUGAUUUUAUAAAAAACCAAGAAAACCUCACAAAAUCCAUCGUUAACCCUACACUGGAAGGCUCUAAGGAAAGAUUAAAAGAAAAGGAAGGAACUCGGCAAACACAAGCCUCGCCUGUUUACCAAAAACAUCGCAUCCUGCAAAGUCAAUGUAUAGGAGGUCCUACCUGCCCGGUGAUAGUUUUAACGGCCGCGGUAUUUUGACCGUGCAAAGGUAGCGCAAUCACUUGUCUUUUAAAUAGAGACCUGUAUGAAUGGUGAAACGAGGGCUUAACUGUCUCCCCUUUCCAAUCAGUGAAAUUGACCUACCCGUGCAGAGGCGGGUAUAAACCUACAAGACGAGAAGACCCUAUGGAGCUUAAGACAUAUAGUCAACUAUGUUAAAAACCCUAAAUUACAAGAACAAAACAAAAUAAAAACUGACUAACGUCUUCGGUUGGGGCGACCACGGGGAAAAAUUAAUCCCCCACGUGGAAUGGGAUAAAAUCCUAAAACCAUGAGGCACACCUCUAAGUCACAGAACUUCUGACCAAAAGAUCCGGUAUUAACCGAUCAACGAACCAAGUUACCCUAGGGAUAACAGCGCAAUCCCCUCCAAGAGUCCAUAUCGACGAGGGGGUUUACGACCUCGAUGUUGGAUCAGGACAUCCUAAUGGUGCAGCCGCUAUUAAGGGUUCGUUUGUUCAACGAUUAAAGUCCUACGCGAUCUGAGUUCAGACCGGAGUAAUCCAGGUCAGUUUCUAUCUGUAAAGUUGACUCUCCUAGUACGAAAGGACCGGAGACAUGAGGCCUCUGCCAAAGGCACACCUUACUUUCACCUAAUGAAAACAACUCAAUUAGAUAAAAAAGAACAUGCUCCCCCCAAAGACCAUGGG
rnacentral:rRNA from 1 species